rnacentral:misc_RNA from 1 species
AUAGAUACAAGUGAAAAGGGAUUGCGUGGAUCAAUCCCAGAGAAUUUUCCGUACUUCCAUGUAGAAUUUGGGUUGAACAAGGGGUUUGUUCAUGUGAUAGAUGACGAAAAUAAUUUCAAGACCAGCUUUGGCCUCAAUGUUAUCAGGGGCAUGUUGCAGCUAGCCGAGGAAGAUAUGCACCGACGUCGUAGAUAUGAGUCCGU